rnacentral:rRNA from 1 species
UACACUCCUGCGGGAGGCAGCAGUGGGGAAUAUUGGACAAUGGGCGCAAGCCUGAUCCAGCCAUGCCGCGUGAGUGAUGAAGGCCCUAGGGUUGUAAAGCUCUUUCACCGGUGAAGAUAAUGACGGUAACCGGAGAAGAAGCCCCGGCUAACUUCGUGCCAGCAGCCGCGGUAAUACGAAGGGGGCUAGCGUUGUUCGGAUUUACUGGGCGUAAAGCGCACGUAGGCGGACUAUUAAGUCAGGGGUGAAAUCCCGGGGCUCAACCCCGGAACUGCCUUUGAUACUGGUAGUCUUGAGUUCGAGAGAGGUGAGUGGAAUUCCGAGUGUAGAGGUGAAAUUCGUAGAUAUUCGGAGGAACACCAGUGGCGAAGGCGGCUCACUGGCUCGAUACUGACGCUGAGGUGCGAAAGCGUGGGGAGCAAACAGGAUUAGAUACCCGAGUAGUCCCAUG